rnacentral:rRNA from 1 species
GUAGUCCACGCCGUAAACGAUGGGUACUAGGUGCCUGGGGGAGCGACCCUCUGGGUGCCGGCGCUAACGCAGGAAGUACCCCGCCUGGGGAGUACGACCGCAAGGUUGAAACUCAAAGGAAUUGACGGGGGCCCGCACAAGCGGUGGAGCAUGUGGUUUAAUUCGACGCAACGCGAAGAACCUUACCUAGGCUUGACAUGCAGGAGCAAGCUCUCAGAAACGAGAGCCCCUCUUCGGAGAUCCUGCACAGGUGCUGCAUGGCUGUCGUCAGCUCGUGUCGUGAGAUGUUGGGUUAAG